rnacentral:tRNA from 1 species
GGUGGCUCAGUAGUAGAGUACUUGCAUUGUAUGCAUGAGGCCCUGGGUUCAAUUCCUCAGCACCA